rnacentral:misc_RNA from 1 species
UUUCCGUAGGUGAACCUGCGGAAGGAUCAUUAAAAAAUGUGGUACCAUUAUUGGUACUAAUUAAUCAUCCUACCCUUUGUGAAUUUGUUUGUAACGAAUUUUUUAAAUGGGUCUUUCCCUAAGUUGGAUUGUAGUAAAAUACAAAAAGACUUAGGGGAAUGACUUUUUUAAAAGACUUUUUUUUUAAAUUAAAACUUUUUGUAUUCAUUUGUCUAAAAUUUAUUUUUAUAAUAUAAAAACAACUUUUGACAAUGGAUCUCUUGGUUCUCGCAACGAUGAAGAACGCAGCAAAAUGCGAUAAGUAGUGUGAAUUGCAGAAUACGUGAAUCAUCGAAUCUUCGAACGCAUAUUGCACUUUUUUAGUUUACUAAAAAAGUAUGUCUGUUUGAGUAUCAGUAAAAUAUUCUCACAAACAAUAUUGUUUUGUGGUAAUGAGUGUUUUACAACGAUAAACAAGUUGUUUCACUUUAAAUUCUUUUGUAAGUUGAUUUUACCAAUUACAAAUUAAAAUUGGAUAAAAUUUUCCUUUAACGAGGAAUAACCUAAACAAUUUUAAAUUUUUGGUUUGUAAAAUCAUCAAAGGAAUCUAUACAACAAUAACUUGAUCUCAAAUCAGAUAAGAGUACCCGCUGAACUUAAGCAUAUCAAUAAGCGGAGGAAAAGAAACUAACAAGGAUUCCCUUAGUAACGGCGAGUGAAGCGGGAAGAGCUCAAAUUUGAAAUCUUCAAGGUUUGACCUUGACGAAUUGUAGUUUAUAGAAGUGUUUUCUGUUGGAGUUUUGGUAAAAGUUCUUUGGAAUAGGACAUCAUAGAGGGUGAGAAUCCCGUAUUUGACCAUGACUUUCCAGCUGUGUGAUACACUUUCAAAGAGUCGGAUUGUUUGGGAAUGCAGUCCAAAAUGGGUGGUAAAUUUCAUCUAAAGCUAAAUAUUGGCGAGAGACCGAUAGCGAACAAGUACCGUGAGGGAAAGAUGAAAAGAACUUUGAAAAGAGAGUUAAACAGUACGUGAAAUUGUCAAAAGGGAAGCGUUUGACACCAGUGUUGUUUUCUCGAAAAUCAAUUUAAUGAGUUCUUGUUUUUAAGUUAUUGUGACUUUAUCAGCGCAUUUCUUAUUUUACUUGACUCAUUGAAUGCACUUUUCGUUUAACAAGUCAACAUCAAUUUCUUUGGUGGUAAAAAGUUUAAAGGAAGGUGGCUUGGACUUCGGUUCAAGUGUUUAUAGCCUUUUUUCUAUGCCAUCGGAGAGAUUGAGGUCUGCAGCGUAGAUCCUUCGGGGUUAGAUACCUUUGUGCUAAGUUAUAGUUUUUUAUAGACAACUUGUUGACUAUAAUUAACCCUGUAAUUAACUCGCUUAGGCUAUUUUACCUACGCUUAGGAUGUUG